rnacentral:rRNA from 1 species
AGCGAACGUUUGCGGCGGGCCUAACACAUGCAAGUCGAACGCACUAGCAAUAGUGAGUGGCGCACGGGUGCGUAACACGUGGGUAAUCAACCCUUCAGCCUGGGAUAACGACUCGAAAGGGUCGCUAAUACCGGAUACGGCGCGAGAGGCUUCGGCUUCUCACGAGAAAGCCACGCAAGGGGGCACUGAAGGACGAGCCUGCGGCCCAUCAGCUAGUUGGUGAGGUAAGAGCUCACCAAGGCUAAGACGGGUAGCUGGUCUGAGAGGAUGAUCAGCCACACUGGAACUGAGACACGGUCCAGACUCCUACGGGAGGCAGCAGUGGGGAAUAUUGCGCAAUGGGCGAAAGCCUGACGCAGCCACGCCGCGUGAGCGAUGAAGGCCUUCGGGUCGUAAAGACGUCUGUGGGAGGAGACGAAGAAAGACCUGUGAAGAGCAGGCCUUGACGGUAGUCUCCUUAGCAAGCACCGGCGUAACUACCGU